UACGGAGGGGGCUAGCGUUGUUCGGAAUUACUGGGCGUAAAGCGCGCGUAGGCGGUUCGAUAAGUCCCGUGUGAAAGCCCCCGGCUCAACUGGGGAACUGCACGGGAAACUGACGGACUUGAGUUCGGGAGAGGGAAGCGGAAUUCCGGGUGUAGCGGUGAAAUGCGUAGAUAUCCGGAGGAACACCGGUGGCGAAGGCGGCUUCCUGGACCGACACUGACGCUGAGGCGCGAAAGCUAGGGGAGCAAACGGG
rnacentral:rRNA from 1 species